UCUCUCAUCUCCUUCGUUUGAACCCUAAAUGCUGCCUUCAAAUUCCGCUAUUUCCACCAGUGAUUGAAGCUCCAAUCAACCCAAAAACUUCAUCACACACUCCCCAUAAUCCAUCAGACACUAAGUCACCGUCAGUUUCCCCUAAAUCCCCUCCAUUUUUCUUUAAUUUCAGAUCAUAAAUGGAAUCCCAGAUCCGUUCCCGCCUUCGAUUCCUCAUGAAAAGGGUCUAGGUUCAUUGUUCUCCAGUCUUUGAAGAUGAUUUUGGCCAGAAAUGAGUGUUAGAUGUUUGUUCUCACAAGAACAAGCCGACUAAUACUCCUUUUUUGCUUCAAAUCGGAAAACAUCAGAGAUCUUUUCAAGCCAUGCUCGUCUACAUUCUUCUUUAGGUACCCUUUGGACCCUAUGAGUUUAUGAAAUGCACUUUUGAAGCUAUGUGAUCAACUUGAACAGUUAUGGAUGAGUGGAAAUUUGCUGAAUGUUAAGCUUUGCAUUUUUUCGAAGAUCCUUCAUGUUCUUUUUUUCUUCGUUGAAUUAGUUUAACAUGUGUUGUAUUACAUUUAUGUUUUUAGCAGCACGUUUUGAGAUUAUGUUUAGAGUUUGGUUUAGUCACUUUGGCUUUAAUUGAGUUGAACUAUUCUCUUCAUGUAUUUAAUUUGGACUGUGCAGCACAGACUGAUUUAGACGAGUAGUAUCUUCAUAUUGUAAGAUUGUGAUUGAGUUAUUUUGGGCUAGUAGUGAUAAUCAAUCAGUCCACAAGGAGCUCCUCUCACA